rnacentral:rRNA from 1 species
AGGGGGGCCACCAGGAGAGGGGACUGCGGCUUGUUUUGACUCUCACGGGAAAAGUAACCCGGCCCGGACACCGGAACGAAAGAAAGAAUGAAAGAUCUUUCUUGAUUCCUUGGGUGGUGGGGCGGGGCGGUCGUUUUUGAGGAGCGGGGUCGCGGAGGGGGAUGAGAACGAAAGCAAUCUACAAAUAAAGGGCGUUGAGGGUCGGUUCCCUCGGGGGUUUAUUGGGGGGGGGGGGGGGUCGAGGAGCGAAGAAAUUAGCGGGGCUGGGUGGUGAUUGGAGUUCGGGGCCGGGGGAGCGUGGCGGGUAAAAUGAAAAGCGCGUAUGCGAUGUACGAAACGUCUGGGGAGGGGAAGGUAAUGUAAAUCAGUUGUGGGUGGGGUAUGGGGGUGAUUUUAUUUUUUCCGCUGGAUGAGAGAGUAGGAGGCUCGAGGGGUGGGGUUGAGGAGAGUAGUUGGCUGUGUGUAGAUCGCUGGCGCGCUACACGACUGCUUGUAUGAUUUAGUGAUGUGUUGAAUAUU